GACGAACGCUGGCGGCGUGCUUAACACAUGCAAGUCGAACGGAAAGGCCCUGCUAUUGUGGGGUGCUCGAGUGGCGAACGGGUGCGUAACACGUGAGUAACCUGCCCUUGUCUUUCGUAUAACUUCAGGAAACUGGGGUUACUAUCGGAUAGGAGCUCCUGUUGCAUGGUGGGGGUUGGAAAUUCUCGGCGGUUGGGGAUGGACUCGCGGCUUAUCAGCUUGUUGGUGGGGUAGUGGCUUACCAAGGCUUUGACGGGUAGCCGGCCUGAGAGGGUGACCGGCCACAUUGGGACUGAGAUACGGCCCAGACUCCUACGGGAGGCAGCAGUGGGGAAUAUUGCACAAUGGGCGGAAGCCUGAUGCAGCAACGCCGCGUGCGGGAUGACGGCCUUCGGGUUGUAAACCGCUUUCGCCUGUGACGAAGCGUGAGUGACGGUAAUGGGUAAAGAAGCACCGGCUAACUACGUG
rnacentral:rRNA from 1 species